GCGGGGCGGGAGAGGUCCAGGCACUGCAAAGGGGGAGGGGCAGCACUGCCACGGGCCUCCAGCAGAUUCUGGGGGGAAGCGCUCUGGGCAGAAGCACCUAGAGGCUCAGCGAGCCACAUGGGUGCGGGCCGGUUCUGCUCCUGAGAGUCUCUGGUCAGGGAGGAGGACAAGGGCUGGGCCGCGCCGGGACAGAGUGCCUUUCCUGCAGAGUGCUCCCUCCCGGAGCACCACUCUUUUCCACCUGCGGGGCCGGCCUCACAGUCUGCAUGGGGAGUCCUUCUGCAAGGGAGAGGUCGCCCAGUCUCAGCUGUGCCGCACCCCAUGCACAGGGCCCUGUCCUCUGCCGAGGUGACUGGGGGCAGGGUCUCAGCUCCACCCUGCAGCCCAUGCAGACUGGAAUCCCCUGUUCCCCUUCCCCACCCCGAGCCCUUCCCAAGAUUGCUUUCUUGGUCACGUCUUCCUCUGGCCCAUUAGAUCCUACCAGGAGGACUGUGCCUCAUGCUCACGUGAGAGUACGGGAAGCGGGCACACAAGGUCAUGUGUGUGACCCUGCUUCCUCUGUUUUCCUAAUUCUUACCCCACAUACCGUCGGGGGCUGGGUCCCCUUCCCUCUCCAUGCUUCAAACCACAGAUCGAGGGACUCGCCUUGACCUUGCACAGCACUUGUGCCAGUUAACCUUCAUCGUUGACCUGAUGGGUUCAGACACUCCUGGAGCGGCCCUCAGUCACGGCUGCUGUGCUCCUCGCUGGAUUGAUCCACGGCAGGUCAGGCUGAACGUGCUGUCAGGAGGCAGCUGGUUGGAGAAGGCAGGACGUUGGACAUGGGCCUCGGGAGGCGUGUCUCUGGCUGGCCCUCUGUCCCUGUGCCCUGCUCCGGCCACCAGGAACUGAACAUCUUUGAUCCACGAUGCUGUUCCCACCUUAGUCCACGGACUGAGACCUCUGACACUGAGAGCCAAAUUAAGCUUCUCCUUUUUAAGCUGCAGGUGCUGUGCAUUUUAUUCCAGCAAUGAAACGCUGACUGAUACAUGACCCCAUUGAAGCGAGGAUCAAAAGACAGAGUAUAGCUGGGAAAGGGGCUUGCUGUCUCCCAUCAGCCAGAACAGCAGGCCGGCAGGGUGGCUUUCUCUGGGGCAGCCCCACGUGAACGCAGAGCACAGUGAGCUGUGCGUGCUCGGGAGGGAGGCAGGCAGUUUCAAAGGCUGACAUAAGCGGUUCCGAAGCCACAGUCCUUGCUGCAGGAGUAAGAGCAAAGGUGCUCAAGGAUGAGCAGCAAGGGUGGCUCCUGUCCAAGGCUGGGCAGAGCUGGCGCAGGCUGACGUCUUUGCAGAAGUAUUUACUACACCAUCCCAUGGCCUGUGUGGAGGCUGUAGGCCUGGCAGGGUCUUCUGUGAUCGGUUCUGGCAUCAGGCACGAGCACAGGGCCCCUCCUUCCCGUCUGCCCAGUGUAUCUAUUUAUCACUUAUUUUCUGUUAGGGUUGGACACCACGACUCUAUCUGGACUCUAACGAUGUCCAAAAGCCUUCAGGAAGCUCCCAUGUAGAUUUCGUCUUUCUGUGAAUGAACACAGGGAUGAGGAUGGGGCAAAGGAGACACCGGAGACCCGCACAGCCUGCUGCUGAGCAGAGGGUACAGGGCUGCUCUUUUGACUUCUGGACCCCUAGGAGUCUGCACCACACAGAUCCCAGAGGUGUCAAUGACCUGAGCUCCCCUCGAGACAGGAAGGGCCUGUGUAGGAGGAAGAAGCUGCGGCACACGGGAGGAGGGUGCUGGUCAGAUGCCAGGUCCUGGGGCUGCCUUGUAGGGCCCUGAGCAGGUGGCACAUGGGUGCAGAAGGAAACUGAGGAAAAGGCCCAGCCAGGACCCAGCCAGGUGGCUUCUUGGUCUGGGUCAGGUGGGAGCAUCCAACUCGUUCCCUUGGCAACCAUGCUUUCUCCCUCCAUCUCUGCCUGCUGCGUGGUUUUCUCGUGCCUUGCCAGCUCCGAGGUCUGGGUGAGGGACAGGAUCUCCUUCUGGCUGUCCUUUGCUGUCCAGCCUGCCUGACCUGGGCCAUCUGAUCUUCCCUGCCCCUCCCUGCAGCUCGCAGACACACAGCUCAUGCUGCAGCCUCACCCCUCCUCCCCUGCACACUCUUCUGUGCAGUGACCCUGCCCACCCACAGGCAGGUGGGAGUGCCCUCGGCCCACCCACCCCUGCCAGCCUCACUACCAGCUGCACAGACCAGUGAGCUGUCACCAACGCUGGACCUGCCUUGUGGAGCCAGGCAACUCUAAAAUCACUCUGGAGCCCUGCGAUUUCCUCUUGAUAAGUGGGGUAACACAAGGACCGCAUGAGAUGUCCCUGAGGCAGUACCUGUCACAUUCGGACACAAGUGUACACACUUGGAUCUGCACAAGGAGACGAUGAGCACCAGAAAUGGCUAAUUGUACACUGAGGACAGCAGCCCCUCGGACGGUUCCCAGACGCAGCACCGCAGCCCAUGGUGCCAAGAAACGGCAGCAGCUGUCCCCACCGCACCAUGUGGGGCAUUCCUGUGACUGACACGAGAACUCAGCCCCGUGAGUAGUCCAGGGAGGCCACGCUCCUCUGCACCAGGAGUGUCACACGAGGACAAUCGAGGCUGUAGUGGCUGAGGUGGCCACCUCACAGCCUGGAGCUGGGCAAUCAAGACACCCCUCUCCCAGCAGGAGUUCUGACGUCAGCCACCCAGGAAAAAUAAAAUCUGCUUCCUUUUUCAUAAUGUUAUUCAGACACACAAGGCUUUGCGCCCUACAAACAGUUUUCUCGUUGCUCCGCAAUCUCCAGAAAUGGACGAGAGGCCAUGUAAUUCUCAGUGCGCUCGGCGGACCGUAAAUCACCUAGCAUUCCUCUCCGACAUGCAUCUAAGUUACUCGGUGAGUUGCACAAUGCUCUAGUAAACCUCCUCAUGCAUAGGCUUUUGUCCAUUUUUGGAAUUUUCUCUUAGAAUGAUUUCCCAGAAAUGUCACCAUGAGGUCAAAUGGAACAAACAAUUUCACGAACCCUGUUAUGUGCUGCCAAAUGCUUUUCCAGUAGUUUGUCUCCUUCUGCAGAGCCUGGGAACGUGGCAGCGGGCAGGUAGGAUGUGGCAGGGUAUUCAGAGCACAGGGCCACGUCGGAGGUCGCUCUGACCCAGAGCUCCAGACACGGGGGUAGGGUGUAUGUGGCAGGUGGGAGGGAGACAGCCUCGGCUGGCAGGGGCUGUCCCUGAGGUGGGCAGGCUCAGUGGAGGGACGGCGCUCUGCUGGAGACCACGUGCUGGGAUUUUAUAAAAACACUCACCGCUGCUGACAUUCAUGAGGUCCUAAGUGGGUGUCACUCAGAAGGUGUGUCCACAAAGGGUCCCCUGAUGGCUAACGUGGGCCAGUUAAGGAUCAGAAUUCAUCAUGGAAGCAACAGCUUGUAACCCACAAGACAAAGCAGGACCCCAGGGGCCACACUGGUGUGAGAACCAAGCCUGCACCUGGGGGCGAAGGGCUCCUCUCCGCAGUAGAGUGGGCACUGGUGAAUGAGAAGGUUGGAGGUCAGGAUCGAGGCUUUGCAACUUAGUAGUUACACGAGGUUCACACGCGGAACCUCAGCAGUCCCUGGAUGAGGGAAGAGGAUCUGGCUUUGUAAACACUGGCUCACCAGAAUGACGACGUCACUCACUCGUGGAAAAGACUGCUGGGGCACCACCCAAGGGCAGAGGGACCCGGCACCUUGCUGUGGGCCGUCCUGACCAGAAUGCAUCUCUACACCCUAAUCUGGGCCACCCUGCCAACGACCACCACGUCCUCACCACUGUCAAGUCCAGGGCGCAGGUGCCCAGCACCUGCUCCAGAGCAAAGAUGCUGAUGAGGCAGAUGUGGUCCCCUGCCCAGUGCCAGGCUGUGUAGGCAUAGCGGAAAGGGAAAUGUUGGAUAGCUGGUAGAACACGAAUAUGAACUCUGGAUUGCUAAGAGUGUUAGAUUAUUGUUUAGUUUCCUGCCAAGUCUCUGCUCUUAGGGCAGACGCGCAAUGAGGGGAAGCCGUGGUGUCCACCAUUUCUCUCAAUUUAGAGGACAGUAUAUGCACGGUGAGGCAUUUCAGUGUAUGUAUAUGUGCGCGCAUAACUUAGGUAUCUGUCUGCCUCUGUCCACCUGUCCGUUACUAACCUACCUGCACAGCACGAUGAGGCCCGUGAAGAAAGCACGCACAGCUGAUGGCUCUGGGUAAAGCCUAUAAUUCUCUGUGUUGCUCUUGCACCUUUUGAAAGAUUUCAAAACAGAAGGUCACAAACUAACAAGCUGAAUUUUGUUACCGUGCCGAGGCAUGGCUGGCACUCCACAUCCGGGGACAUCUUCAAGUCGCCCAGGACCUCCAGUUUGGCUGACACCGUGCCACCUCCUCAGGCUUCCACAAAGCAUGUGAGUUGUAGAAAUUCCACGUCCUGUUUCUCAGGACCUUUGAACACACUGCUCCAACCUCCCAGCCCCAUCUUCCUCCUCCCAGCACCAGCUGGGGGGCAUCUCCUUCAAGGGAUUUCUCCUUCUGUUCGGAGAGCGGGGUUUGUCCCUGCCUGCCCCCAGCCUGCCAGGGCGAACCCCACACUUCUGUGCACACUCUGUGACGCCAGCCUCCCUCUCCCCACCAGAUCACCCAGGCAGCCACAGACACAUCCCUGUUCCCAAGCCCGGAGUCCCGCGUGGUACUCGGAACAGACAGGCACGCAGUACACGUGCACGGAGAGGAGGGGCCCUUGGGCCAGCCGCUGUCGCCCACCUGCAGGUUUUCCUUGCACUAGAAAGAAACAGAGAAGGAAGUCUGUCUGCGUCCUUGGGACCGCACACAAGUGAAGAAGGGAGAGACUGUGAGGGUGGACAAGGUCCUAUGGCCCUGACUUCUCCUGGCGAGAGUGGGCUGCCCCAGGGAGGGCUUGUCCUGCCCUUCCCGGACCAGGCAGCUCUGGCCUCCCAGGGGUCAGGUGGAUGCACCCUCAGGGCUGUCCUGAAGGGCCGUCGGAAGGGGGAUUUCACCACAGGGAGGUUUCAAAGAGGGAAGAGCACCUGCGCUCUUUUCAGAUAUGCGCACGUUUGUUCGUUCGUCCACUCACUCAUCCAUAGUGUAGAAGCAAGCUGGGCAUAAGUGGUGUGCCCAUCCAUGACACAGAACUGUGGCUGACUUUCCUGCUUCAGAAAACUCAAGGGGAAGCCUUAGCAAACGUGGCAUCUCCUCAGCAGGUGGCCCCUCCUGCAGGCAGCUAUGUGUGUGGCUGUGCAUGACUGCGUGUGGCUGCGUGUG